UCAUCAAGUUGAGUGACCGUA
rnacentral:miRNA from 1 species